rnacentral:rRNA from 1 species
UACGAGGGGGGCAAGCGUUGUUCGGAAUUAUUGGGCGUAAAGGGUGCGUAGGCGGUUUGGUAAGUCUUAUGUGAAAUCUACAGGUUCAACUUGUAGUCUGCAUGAGAAACUGCCGGGCUUGAGUAUGGGAGAGGUGAGUGGAAUUCCUGGUGUAGCGGUGAAAUGCGUAGAUAUCGGGAGGAACACCUGUGGCGAAAGCGGCUCACUGGACCACAACUGACGCUGAGGCGCGAAAGCUAGGGGAGCAAACAGG